rnacentral:rRNA from 1 species
CAGGCCUAACACAUGCAAGUCGAACGGACGGGAGCAAUCCCGUUAGUGGCAAACGGGUGCGUAACGCGUAAGCAACCUGCCCCUGACUGGGGGAUAGCCUGGCGAAAGCCGGGGUAAGCCCCCAUGGUCCUAUUGACUCACCUGGGUUGGUAGGUAAAGAUUUAUUGGUCAGGGAGGGGCUUGCGUCGGAUUAGCUAGUUGGUGGGGUAACGGCUCACCAAGGCUGUGAUCCGUCGGGGUUCUGAGAGGAUUGGCCCCCACAUGGGUACUGAGAGACGGACCCAACUCCUACGGGAGGCAGCAGUAGGGAAUAUUGGGCAAUGGACUAACGUCUGACCCAGCCAUGCCGCGUGGAGGAUGACGGCGCUCAGCGUUGUAAACUCCUUUUAUCAAGGAAGAACGAGCAGGAUGCGUCCUGCUGUGACGGUACUUGAGGAAUCAGCACCGGCUAACUCCGUGCCAGCAGCCGCGGUAAU